ACGUGAACUAAUUCGUCUGGUUAAUUCCGAUAACGCACGAGACCUUAGCCGAUAGUUAAAUGGACUUCAUGAAAGGACCUCGCUCCUGUUUUCAGGAGAUACUAUCGGGACCGCUCGCGAUCUACAUGGCGAAGCGGGAGGAAGGCUAAGGCUAUAACA
rnacentral:rRNA from 1 species